UGGGGAAUAUUGCACAAUGGGCGCAAGCCUGAUGCAGCCAUGCCGCGUGUGUGAAGAAGGCCUUCGGGUUGUAAAGCACUUUCAGCGAGGAGGAAGGUGGUGAACUUAAUACGUUCAUCAAUUGACGUUACUCGCAGAAGAAGCACCGGCUAACUCCGUGCCAGCAGCCGCGGUAAUACGGAGGGUGCAAGCGUUAAUCGGAAUUACUGGGCGUAAAGCGCACGCAGGCGGUUUGUUAAGUCAGAUGUGAAAUCCCCGGGCUCAACCUGGGAACUGCAUUUGAAACUGGCAAGCUAGAGUCUCGUAGAGGGGGGUAGAAUUCCAGGUGUAGCGGUGAAAUGCGUAGAGAUCUGGAGGAAUACCGGUGGCGAAGGCGGCCCCCUGGACGAAGACUGACGCUCAGGUGCGAAAAGCGUGGGGAGCAAAACAGGAUUAGAUACCCUGGUAGUCCACGCUGUAAACGAUGUCGAUUUUGGAGGUUGUGCCCUUGAGGCGUGGCUUCCGGAGCUAACGCGUUAAAUCGACCGCCUGGGGAGUACGGCCGCAAGGUUAAAAC
rnacentral:rRNA from 1 species